rnacentral:ncRNA from 1 species
GCUUCGGGGUUGGGUGCGAUUCCCUACCGGCAGUUAAAGUCUGCGAGCCGUAAAGGCUGAACUCGUGAAAUUCGAGUACCGACGGUAUAGUCCGGAUGGAAGAAGU